AUUGAACGCUGGCGGCAGGCCUAACACAUGCAAGUCGAACGAGUGGCGGACGGGUGAGUAAUGUCUGGGAAACUGCCUGAUGGAGGGGGAUAACUACUGGAAACGGUAGCUAAUACCGCAUACCAUCGGAUGUGCCCCGAUGGGAUUAGCUAGUAGGUGGGGUAAAGGCUCACCUAGGCGACGAUCCCUAGCUGGUCGGAGAGGUUGACCAGCAAACUGGGAACUGUGACACGGUCCAGACUCUUACGGUAGGCAGCAGUGGGGAAUAUUGGACAAUGGGCGAAAGCCUGAUGCAGCCAUGCCGCGUGUAUGAAGAAGGCCUUCGGGUUGUAAAGUACUUUCAGCGGGGAGGCGUUACCCGCAGAAGAAGCACCGGCUAACUCCGUGCCAGCAGCCGCGGUAAUAC
rnacentral:rRNA from 1 species